GACGAACGCUGGCGGCGUGCCUAAUACAUGCAAGUAGAACGCUGAAGAGAGGAGCUUGCUCUUCUUGGAUGAGUUGCGAACGGGUGAGUAACGCGUAGGUAACCUGCCUGGUAGCGUGGGAUAACUAUUGGAAACGAUAGCUAAUACCGCAUAACAACAGUUGUUGCAUGACUGCUGUUUAAAAGAUGCAAUUGCAUCACUACCAGAUGGACCUGCGUUGUAUUAACUAGUUGGUGAGGUAACGGCUCACCAAGGCGAAGAUACAUAACCCGCCUGAGGAGGUGGACGGCCCACACGGGACUGGGAACAGGGCCAAGAUCCUUCGGGAGGCAGCAGUAGGGAAUCUUCGGCAAUGGGGGGAACCCUGACCGGGCAACGCCGCGUGAGUGGAGAAGGUUUUCGGAUCGUAAAGCUCUGUUGAAAGAGAAGAACGGGUGUGGGAGUGGAAAGUUCACACUGUGACGGUAUCUUACCAGAAAGGGACGGCUAACUACGUG
rnacentral:rRNA from 1 species